UUUAAUAAACUGCAUUUCAAAAACCUUUUUCGAAUUGCACUUUAAUAAAGGUCCGUGUACUUUUCGGUAUUUGAAGUUUUGUUUCAGAAACCAAAACGAAAAAACGAUAUUUAAAAGAAUUUUCAUUUUUUUAAUUUUUGAUAAAGAAUAAAAUGGGCGAAAAUAACUUGUUUUUUCAUUCGGUGGUAACAAAUAGCCGUCAUACACUUAAAAUUAGACGUGCUUUUUUGGAUUUCUUCGUGAUUCAAAUAAUGAAAGUAUACUAGCGCAAAAACAAAAAAAUAGACGCAUUUUCAAUGUCUGAAACGGGAAGUACUUCUUCUGCGCGUUUUUUUAUGGCGCGCGCACACCGUCCCCCACACAAGAGAUCGACGGCCUUAAAGUUACACUGGAAUAAACAGAGGAUGGACCAUUACGUUGUUUUUAGGAAAACUAAGAGAGUGACACUCCGGGACGAAGACAUGACUGCAGAAAAACUGGGUCGCAUCUUUCAGGUAUCCGCGCAUACUCUGUACAUCACGGAUGAUUCAAACGUGGCUAUGUUCCCCGGUGCGGUCUCUGGUGUUUUCAGCGCAUUAGACCUUACACCCAGAGGUCACUAUGAAGUCCACGGAGAAGACAUGGAGUCAAUUCCAACAGCAGGUUCCAGCGGGCAGCGUUUUGCAUUUAUGCGAGCACCAGCUGUGGCAGCGUCUGCACCUUCACGUUCACAGCAGGCUACUUCAAGUUCCCCUAUGUCCUCCAAAACAUUUCAGAGAUCAGUGUACUUUGCAGAUGUAGUUGGUGGGAGGUUGAUUCCCAAUAGAAUGGUGGUUGUACGAUUCCUGGAGUCUGAGGCUACGCUUCAAGGGAUAGUAGGAAAAGUGCAAGAUGCCAUUGGUAAUUACAACCCAAUAAUUUUGACAGAUGCACAGGGCAAUGCAAUUCUGGAGUCGGAGGGCACAACAGGGUCACAGUACUGGAGACAAAAUGCACGAAAAAUUCUUGCUGUGCCUGAACAAGACUUUAAUUGCCUCCAGGGAACAAAGAGGAAGAAACUGAGCAGCCGUAAAGAUGAUGACAGUGCCAGUUUGGGAGAAGUGAGUGACAAAAUAGAAGAGUUGGUGUUGGCAUCUCAAAGUCUGCCAGCUGUCACAGCAGCAAUCAAAGAGCUCACUGAUCUUGCAGUUGCCCAGAAAGUCACAACCCCCAAGCUGCAGACACUCAAGGAGGGAUUUAGCUGCGUGGUUUGUAUGAACAUCAUUGAGGAUCCAGUGUUCUCACUGUGCUGCAGAAGCAUUAUUGGCUGCAAGACAUGUGUGGAACAGUGGCAAGAGACAUCACAGCACUGUGCAAAAUGCAGGGAGAGUAACAACGGAGUUCUACAAAUUACUGGUCUAACAGCUGCAUUUUCUGUAUUGAAAUCUUUUUUUGCAGAGGAGUAAUGUAGUGUGUACACACAAAUGUUUACAGUCAGUUGAUUUUUUUUUUUGUCUGUUCUGUACAGUUUACAGAUGCAGUGGUUCAUACAUUUCUCUGAGUUAUGUUUAUGAGACAGAGCAGAGCUUCUUUGUAUGGCAUAAAGUCACCAUUUACGGCUCUAAAAAACAAAUGUGAAAUAUCAGGAUAUUUUUCUGCAAAAUGACUCUCUGUUCUAAGUUUGUCCUGUUCGGUUGUGAAGGGAUCAACUCCAAAAGUCGAAUAUUCUUUGAGUGCAGAUCCCAAGUGCUGCCUGUAAAGGUCUGCUGCUUCAAGUGCAUUUGGCAAGAGCUCUGGAGAAAUUCUUCUUUUACACCCAUGUUCUGCAAAGUGAUUUGGUAUGCCUUUUCCUGUAAAAAAUAGAGGAGGUGUUUAAAUGUUCAUUAUCAGGGUUGUAAGCAAUCUGACUUUUUUUUUUUUUUUUUUUACCUGGGAUUCUAUGAGCAUUCCAUGAUUCUACCACACUUGCAAGACCAAUGUUACACAGCUGACAGGUUAGAUUGGACACACAGUAUCGCACAAGGUUAUCCUCCAUAUCUAUCUCCUCCUGGUCCAUCAGCUGGAGUAGGGCAGUUUUUAGUGGGUAGUUGACACGGUUGUUGAUUUCAGGCCAAAUCCUUUCAACUGUGUGGUUCUAAAAGAGUUAAAAGAAACAUGUCUUAAAUGUACGUAGUAGUACACGUAAUAGUAUAAGAAUUUCAGCUGAUGUUAAUGGUACUUAAAUCUUACUCUUGUGGAUGAGGUCUGUAAAUAAGGCAGUCUCUCCUGAUUGAAGCGAUGAUGUGACAGCAUCUCUUGCAUGAACAGUGUUAAAUAAAAUUCCUUUCCAUGGUCUACUCGCACCUGGUCCCACAUACCAUAGGUGAUCACUGCAGGUCUGGUACAGGAAAAAUAAAGAACAUUUAUUAACUAUUUUGCUUUAAGACCAGCAAAGGUGUUAUUAUUUUGAAUGUAUUCAUUCAUGUUUUUUUUGGGUAAUAUUUUAGUUGUAGUAGGACAACAUAUAUUUCUUAAGUUUCUUUGCAAUGUCACUGUCAUGCUCAGACUUUAGAUGUAUGUCAGAACAAUUGAAAGAUAUGUGGAAAUCCAAGAACCUUGUUCCAUUCAUAAAUGAACACUGAUUAAUUGCAAUAAAGUAGUUAAAUGAUUCAUGUGCAAUUCCAUUUUAUUUAUUUUUACAUUAAUAGAAAAUGUUGAUCAAAAUGUUUGGUAAGUUCUUAAUAUAUUAUAUUCAGGAACAUAACCAGACCCAUCUGUUGCAUGUCUAAUUUAAAUUCAAAUAUUGUAAAUUUGGGUGCAGCUCAUGUCCAAUAUGACUAACAUGUCCAUCAAAACACUUAAGAUGAAAUAAAUGGUUUGAGAGGUUGUAUUACCUGAAAACAUAUUCAUAGAUGCUCAAGUUGUUUUUGAUUGGCAUUGUGGAAUGACUCACAAUCUUUUUACUGAAUCCAUCUACAGCUAAAACAUGGGUGACUCCAAACAUUACAAGUUUCUCGUUUUGGUCCAGGUGAACCUUGUGCCCCAUGCAUUCAGCAUGGUACGGUGUGGGAUUAAGAUUCCGAGCUCCCUUACAAAAAAAUCACAAAAAUAAAUGACAGCUGACUGGAUAAAGGCAGAUUUGAUCAUACGUUUGAGGAAGAGUCAAGUAACUGUUAAAGCAGGGCGUACAUCUGUUAAACAGAAUUAGGCCCUACCAUUACAUGAUGUAUAUCACAAAUAUGACAAAGAACAUUGGAAUACAGUUCUAGUGGAAGAUUAAAUAACAUAGGCUACCUGGCGUCUUGCUUCAUGAUAAGGUUGAUGCACCUCUCUUAAAAUUGACCCAAUUCGUCCCUCUGCAGCAUGUACCCCUUUUGUGGACAGAUAGCCCUUCAUCAUUUUGCGGCCAUAUGUUGGGCCCACCUGUUUAAAAUAAAAGAUCAUGCUACUACUAGAACAACAAAUGUAAAGUAGCUUAUUCUGAAAGCAAAUGUGUAAAGCUAAAGUAUUGUGCUAAUUAACUGUACAAAUACCAGUGAGAGACAUCUUUAAAAUAACUAACGUUACCCACCACCCGCAAGACGCUAAAACGCGCGGGCGCGCGCACACAGUCUAGACUAACCCCCUUACAACCCAGUUAAGACAACCAUACACAGUCAUAAGGUGAAGGAAGAAAGUACCUUACCUCAUUUAUAGCUUGUGUCACCUCAAGCUCCAACCGUGUGUCCGAGAGUCGACAGCUAGUGAUUUGCUCAGCACAAAACUUUCUAACAUUUCUCGCAGAAAAUCCUCUCACUUCCCCGUGUUCAUAUGACAGACGCUCUGAUAUAAUUUCCGAUGACAGGCCUUGUUUUGCCAUCUCCAUGAUCACGUCUGAGUAUUUUUCCAACGUCAUGAUGUCCACACUACAGUGUUUGCCAUAAGUUUGCGCAUCACUUGUACAGGUUGUUGACCUACUAAAACUUCCGGUUCAGACAAAAUAAAUAAAGGGCCCUUUCUCGUUCUUUUUUCUUGGGUUUUUCGUUUCUGAUGUGCGAAAGGACAAAAUGAAAAAAACAAUUGUUUUACGUUUUUCAUUUUAGCUUUUUAAGUUGAGAAUUAAAUAAGUGUCUCAUUUUCUUUUUUAAAUUAUACUUUCUGAAACGAAACUUCAAAUACCGAAAAGUACACGGAUUAAAUAAACUUCAUUUCAAAAACCUUUUUUCAAAUUGCACUUUAAUAAACUGCAUUUCAAAAACCUUUUUCGAAUUCCACUUUAAUAAACUGCAUUUCAAAAACCUUUUUUCGAAUUGCACUUUAAUAAACUGCAUUUCAAAAACCUUUUUCGAAUUGCACUUUAAUAAACUUCAUUUCAAAAUCCUUUUUCGAA
ensembl:lncRNA